rnacentral:misc_RNA from 1 species
UUUCCGUAGGUGAACCUGCGGAAGGAUCAUUAUUGUAUAAGCGAGGUGCGAGGGCUGUCGCUGACCCGAAAGGUCCUGCACGCCCGAGUGCCCUCACACACAUCCAUCUCACCCCUAUGUGCACCACCGCGUGGGUCCCCCUUUGGCGUGUUCGGCGGGGGGCUUACGUUUUCACACAAACUUUGUAUGCAGUGUAGAAUGUAUUUUUUGUUUUUGCGAUCACGCAAUCAAUACAACUUUCAACAACGGAUCUCUUGGCUCUC